rnacentral:lncRNA from 1 species
UUCAAUGUGUUGAUUAUUUUUGAAUUUGGGAGGUUUUGGAUGAUUAUUACAAGACAUAGACAACAAAUAAGGCUUUUUAUGUGUUGAUCGAUUGCAUUAUGUGGUGUUUAUGGCUCUGGUUGGUAAAAAAUAGUGGAUAGCUGAUAAGCUAGCUUAUAGCCGAUGAGCUUAUAGCGAUAAACUAGCUUUUAGCUUAUAGCGAAUUGAAACUAAUCCCUUCAUUCCAUAUUUUUUGUAGUUUAAAGUUUUUAGAAACAAAUUAAGAAAUGGUGUAUAUUUGUACUGCAAUACCUUUAAAUUUAUGAUUUAAUUGUUUUACAAUUCUCACUUUUGAACAAAGGGAGUGUUGAAAUGCAAAUGAUGAUUUAAUGGAAGGGUCAAAGUGAUUCAUUUAAUCUCUUAACUUCAUCAUCUAUGUGUUGUAUUGGAUUCAUAAGAUGGUGAAGGAUUUUCCAUGGAGAGAGUGAAAUACUGAAAUCCUAUGAUUGUUAAGGAUUUUCCAUUCCAUUGAAUAAUGCACAUGACUUGGCUAUGGAGAGGCUGGUGGAAGGAAAUGAAGCUAAAGAGGUUUGUUAAUCUGAAGAGCUAUACAGUUCCAAUGAUGAUAGUAGCAAAGUUGCAUUUGGUAUGUGAUAUUCAAAUCAAAGAUGCUCGAGCUAUCAUGGAUUGAUUUCACUGUUGAAUUUGAAAGAAGUUAUUUAUGAUUCUCAACAAAUAAGGACUAUUCUAUGUCCUGUAGAUUUGAGGCUAUUAAUUGAUGAUGCUGGUGCCCACUUUUUGUGUGUCUUAAGAGCUGCAAGAGAUUUUAUAGUUUACUGCACUGAUCUAUAAUUGCAGCUACCUACAGUUAGGUUCAUUAAUCUAUCAUAUCAAUGAAUGUUUCUUUAAUAGGAAAACAUGUUGCAUACUAUAUCUUAAUACUGUGGAAUCACUGAAUACUACUGGGUCUUCUGCUGAAUUGAGAUGAAAUGCACCCAUUAAUGCCCCCACAAAAGCAUAAGCAGUGGCAGAAUUGGUUGUGUACUUGUUAGAAUUAGAAGCACUUUUAGACAUUAAUUUUUUAGGGUAACCAUUUUGUAACUCUUUUUAUAUGGUAUUGUAGAAACUAAUCUCAUGUGGGCAAAUAUAUAUUUGUCUCUUACAACAUAUAUUUUUGCUUAUGCGCAUGCGACCAGAGAUUAAACUUCUGAUCAAAUGACUAAACAUGACUAAAUGACUCAAGCAUCUACCGCUUGUGUUAAUUAAUUAUUCUUUUAGUGAACUAUACCC